CCCUCCCUGUCGAGCGUUCCUAGACCCUUGCGUCUUCAGAGCAUGGGUCUAGCGCGGCUAGGCUACGAAAAAGCCCCAAAAUCACAGUUUUAUAAGUAUUUUUCUUGAAUCUAUCCUGAAAUCAUGUUACACCACAAACAAACCACAAUUUGUUGUCAUUGUUUUGUCUCUAAAAUGUCAGAAAACGGUGAAAAUGUGGAUCAGAGUUUCCUCAAAUAUCUUGUUUAGUCCGAAGAUCUUCAGUUUACUGACACAGAGGAAAGAAACCAGAAAAUAUUCACAUUUAAGGGGCUGAGAUGGCUGAAUUUAGACUGUUUUUAUCUACAGAUUAACAGUUUAUUCUAAAAUUUGCUGGAGGUGACCAAACUUGGAGCAAAAAAUGUGGAUUUCUUCUUAAACAUUCUCUUUCUGAAUUAAAAUGAGAACUUUUCCUCAUGAAGUUUGGUUUGAAAAAUGUUUAUUAAUGGGCUUAAAUUAGAGAUUGUUUUGAAUAUUGACUAAAUGUUUAGUUUUCUGGUCUCUUGAAAAAUGUGGAUCAGAGUUUCCUCAAAUGUCUGGUUUAGUCCAGAGAUCUUCAGUUUACUGUCACAGAGGAAAGAAACCAGAAAAUAUUCACAUUUAAGGAGCUGAAAUCACCGAUUUAAACAGCUUAGACCCUGUUAUGAAACCGUUAAUGAUGAAUAAAUGUGAAUUAUUGGUAACCUGAGUCAGUUCUGAGACUAAAUCAAUACAGAGUUGUGACAGACGUCAGGUCAGAGCUCAGGUAGGAAUCAGAAAGUUAGACGCUGAUGAAGCUUCGGUCGUCACGGAAACGAAGCCUCAAGUUGACGCUACGCCCCCUGAAAGCUUUUUAGAAGAACAGCACGACUAAAAGAUGAGCAAACCGGAUUGUUUGACUCAAAAAGACGCCGUAGACUCUCAGCGAACGGUUGCAAAUCUUGCAGAAAUGCAUGGAGGGCAGGUGGGAGUCGCUGCAAACCAGCGGGGAUAAAAUGCACGAGAAGAGAUUCUUUUUUUAUUUGGAGCUGUGAUUGUCAAACUGCAUCGUCUGGAUUGAUGCUGGAGGAGCUGCAGAGGCGAUGCAAAAAGAUUUACGAGCUUUAAAUCGCUCCUAAUUAAUAAAGAAAAAAAAGCAGAGGGAGACCUUACCGCUGUCGCUGCUUCAGGAGCUUCUCCUUCUCUUCCUUCUGGCUCGUCUCUCAGGAAAAUAUCCACCAGCUCAGAGAGGUUUACAAAAAAACAUCAUCCUGGGAUGAAAAAGCAACAAACAGCAGCUCGGAAGAGGAAGAAGAAGAUGGUGGUAAAUCAGGAGCAGUUAUUGAAAUAUUAAAGAGGCGAUAAUUGUGAGGCUGUCAGAGGAGAGGUGCUUGAGUUGAUGGAUGGGAGGAGAGAGAGAGAGAGGGAGAGAGAGAGAGAGAGAGAGAGAGAGAGAGAGAGAGAGAGAGAGGGAUUAAGAGUGAGGAGACUCCCCUCAGGGACUCUUUAUCGUUGCAUUACAGCGACUUCACCAACACGAUGCAAAGAUAAUUAAUCUGUUAGCUGGAUUAGCGACGGUCGAGCCCCUCAUUCUGCUUCACUCGACCCCCAUCCAGAGCAAAGGAUUAACACCAAACAACAACAGCUUUUUAUUCCCACUCACAUGAGCCCCGGUGGAAGAAGCUACCGGGUUCAGACCAGAGAGGAGGAGAAGAUGCUGAGAUGGAUGCAACAAUGAGCAGAAAGGAUGGAGAUGCUCCGAGAGUGAAAAGAACGUUUGUGUGCCGACGGACGGACGGACGGAGGGAUGGAUGGAGGGUUGGAUGGAUGGUUGGAUGGAUGGAGGGGGGUUUAGCAUCGGGAGGAGGGGGCGGCGUUGGCUUUUCUGUGUCACCAGGAGAAAAGAGGAGCGAGUGGGGGAAGGGAGACGAAGCAGCAAACAGCACUGACUCAUAUAGACUAUCUAUAGAGGGACAUGGAGGGAGUCUCUGGGAAGAAGAAGAAGAAGGAACCAUCACCAUCAUCAUUACUGAUAAAUAACAGCAGCUCAGGCUUUAAUGUACACAAAUAAAUGACUAAAAGAACAAAGAGCAUCAAAGAAUCAUGCAGAAAACUGAAAAAACAGCAUAAAAAGUCAGAAUGAAUUUGAUCUGUGUGGUGAUAAAAGAGGAAAAAUUACAGAAAAGUUGGUCCAGAUGGCCUCAUUUAGAUAAAAUAUGAAGAAAAACUAACAGCAGAGUGCAUCUCCAAAGACUUUAAAAGCUGAAAACUGAAUAAAAUCAACAAUUAAAUCAGUUUCUGCAUGAAUUUCCAAUGUGUUAAAAAGUAAAUAAUCAGAAUAAUCCAGGCAGAGUCAAUGAAUCUGCAGCAGAAAUGAUUAAUCAACUAAUUUAUUCGUGUAGCAGCUCAGCUAAUGCUGCACAACCUCACCCAAUAUUGAAAAAUAUGAUCAUUUUAGCUGUCAAUUCCCUUUAUUAUGUCAAAAUAUGAAUAAAAACAGAAUGAAACUGUUUGAAAUGCAUUAAAAUACAUUUAACUGUCAUCAUAUUAGAGUUAUAACAAGUCGUAAACAAACAAUCUUCAUUUUACACCUUUAAGCCCUUAAAUAAAAACAGAUUUUUAAAAAAGUGACUUAAUAACUUAGAAACUUCAAACCCAGCAGCAGCUUUGGUAGAAAACAGGACGACACCGUGUUGGAGAAAAACGACUUUUUCUGCAAAAUACGCUGGAAAAAAAAAAGCAGAAACUUUGAGAAGAACUUCAUUUAGAAAGAACGAAUGAGUUUAACCUGAAAAC